GGAGGAGGAGCAGGUGCUGUAGGCUCCACCCCCACCUCCCCGCCUCAGGCCAGCUGGGGCGACGUGACUCUGGCUGCGUAGCCUCCAGCACGGCGGGCGCCGGCGCCGCGGAUAGAGCGCGGCUGGAGGGGAGCACAUCGCGGAGGCAGUGCCCAGAGAGGUGCGCAUCUCUCCGCCCCGCCCCGCCCCGCCCCUCCCCCUCGGCCUCGUGGCGGCGGCGGCGGAGGCAGCAGCAGUAGCAGUGCUGGCGGCUCGGAGGACUGGAGAGCCGAUUGAUCAGCUUCUGCCUCACCUAUUUUGAUGAGGAUUCUCAUAAUGAUAAAGAUAACAAUUCUCCAAAAAGACACAGUAAUUUUAAGUGUGUAUGCACCUAACAAAAAGAAUUUCAAAAUGCAGAUCCUGCUACCCACCUCCCCCAACAACAACUUGGCAUUCAUUCACAGACAAAGGUGACUUUCUGGGAGAUGAGAGAUUUCAGCAUCAGGUACUAAGGGUCCUUGGAGGAGUCUUGCCCAUCCAUGUGGAAGGAAUUGGUCCUGCCUGUGAACACUGUAGCAGCCCAUGAACCUGCCUCAGCUCUGCUCAGCUGGGGUCCAGAAGUCCCUAAAGAACACUGAUUCUGACAAUCACUCAUGGGGCAGCACAGAUCUGAGUCGAGUCUGAGACCUACACCACAGCUCACAGCAACACGGGA